AUGCCCGGGACGUUGGCAACUACUACUAUUUUUUUAUUCAAUCACACAGGAAAACGCGCUGGAUGUUCCUACCUAAUCAUGAAGUCAGCCAAGCCGUGGAUGUUCCGGAGCAGCGGUGGCCCUUCUCUCACCCCUCUCUACCACAUAGUACCACCGACAGAACUUGUUGAAUCCAUGGCUACCCCUGCCUCAGGGUGUCCAUGGCUCCAUCUCCUCGCCAUCCUGCUUCUUCUCCCUUCCAUGUUCGGUGAGGCAAAGACCGCAGCACGGCGAGGCACUUGGUUCACAGCCCAGACAGCAGCGCUGCUCCGAUGGAAAUCCAGCCUGACAAGCGUCAGCAGCGGUUCAGCCUUGAGCACCUGGAGCCCCGGCGUCCACCCCUGCAACUGGACGGGCAUCACCUGCCGCCGUGCAGCUCAAGGCCCGGCCAUCACUGGGAUCUCCCUCCCAGGAGCUGGCCUUGCCGGGCGGCUGGACGUGCUCAACUUGCAGCCCCUGUCCUUGCUCACCAGCCUUGAAAUCAGCAACAACUUCCACCUCUCAGGGCGGAUUCCACCAACCGUCGGCAUGCUCCCCAUGCUUUCCAUGCUCAACUUCUCCGGUAACCAGCUCACUGGAGGCAUACCUCCAGCCAUCGGUGAGCUGGGGAGCCUCACCGUGAUGGACCUCUCCUUCAAUGGCCUCUCAGGUACCAUUCCUGCAAACAUUGGCAGGCUUCAGUCCUUGCAAAGUCUCCGGUUAUACCAUAACAACUUAACUGGAAUUAUUCCUCCUUCCCUCACCAACCUAACUUUGCUCAGAGAUUUAAGUCUGUUCACAAACCAUCUUACUGGUUCAAUCCCCGUAGAGCUCGGGAAACUCGCUGCUUUGGAGGAGCUAGAUUUGGCUGAUAACUAUCUAACUGGUACUAUUCCGAGCAGCAUUGGAAACCUUACUAAACUAGGCUACUUAGGACUGUCCCAAAACUUACUUAUUGGUUCCAUUCCUCACGAGAUGACACACCUUAAUAAUCUUGCCAUGCUCAUGAUAUCACACAAUCAAUUCACGUCCACUAUCCCUGCAUCAAUCACAAACUUAACCAAGUUGCAACUGCUAGGAGCCAGCAGGAGCAACUUAAGUGGCCACCUUCCUGAACAAAUAGGAUCACUCACUGAUCUUCGUGAGGUCUACCUUUUCGGUAAUAAACUUACCGGGAGCAUUCCUUUGAGUCUCGGAAAUUUGACGAUGCUCACAUAUCUGUACCUUUACGAGAACAACUUGUCUGGGUUCAUUCCUUAUGUGCUAGGGAAUCUUGCUAACCUUCAGGAGCUUAGCCUCUCCUCCAAUGCUUUAGAUGGUGAUCUGCCAUCUAGCAUAGGAAACAUGACUUCCCUCACCUCCCUUCGCCUUCAAAACAAUAGCUUUUCUGGCACAAUCCCAGCUGAGCUAGGCAAUCUAGAGAAUUUAGUGAAUCUUUACCUCUACUUCAACAAGUUCUCUGGCUCAGUCCCUCCAAGCUUUGGAAACUUCAGGGAAAUGACAGAUUUGAGGCUGUCGGGUAAUAGACUGUCUGGACCUUUGCCUCACACACUUUCAAACCUCACCAAUUUGGUGGACAUUGAGUUGAGUUACAACAAUCUCAGCGGACACGUGCCUGACUUAUGCCAGGGCAAAAAACUCCAAUGGUUUUCCGCAACUACCAACCAAUUUAGUGGAUCCUUUCCAGGAAGUUUCAAGCACUGCAGCUCCUUAAUCAUCCUUGACAUCAUGUAUAAUCAGAUGGAAGGAGAUAUAGCACAACAGCUUGGGGUGUACCCACAUCUGAAAUUUGUUGGGUUAACUUCAAACAAACUGCACGGUCAGCUUUCAACAGACUGGGGUUCAUGCGGUAACUUGACAGAACUGCGUUUAGGAGGAAACAUGAUUACUGGUCAUAUACCUCGUGAGCUCACAAAGCUAACCAAACUCAGAAAACUCGACCUCCAUUUGAAUAGGUUGACAGGGGAGAUACCUCCUGAAAUUGGCAAACUAGUCAACCUAUAUUUGCUAGAUUUAAGCCAAAAUAAUCUAUCUGGAAGCAUUCCUCAACACAUUGGUCGAAUGGAUGUUCUUGAGGUUCUCGACCUGUCAAGCAAUCAAUUAGGUGGAAGAAUACCAGAAGAAGUUGGGAAAUGUGUGAGACUACAGUCCAUGAAACUGAACAACAACAGCUUAAACGGCAGCCUUCCUGGUUCCAUAGGCAAACUGAUUCACCUACAGACAACACUUGAUGUCAGCCAUAACAACCUACAUGGCGCCAUUCCUCCAGAAAUAGGAAAUCUAGAUAUGUUGGUAAGCAUAAACCUCUCCCACAAUCAAUUCAGUGGAAGCAUUCCUAACACGGUAGCAGGACUCCGAAGCAUGUCCGUAUUUGAUGUCUCCUACAAUAGAUUACAAGGCACAGUUCCGGGAAGGAUCCAUAAUUCCUCGGCAGAAUGGUUUCUUCACAAUAGAGGUCUCUGCGGGGAGCUGGCUGGCCUUCCGUCUUGUCAUUCUUCUGCUGCAAAUCAUCAGAAAAAGGACCAAAUCCUCAUGUUAAAAGUGGGUGUCCCUGUUUUUGUGGCUAUUACUUGUAUAGCUGCAUGCAUCUUCUUCACUUUGAUUUUGAGGAAGAAAUCCUCUUCUAGAGAAAGUGCCAUUGUAAAGAGUGCGGACCUCUUCUCUAUAUGGAACUUCGAUGGUAAAAUAGCUUUUGAGGAUAUCAUCAAUGCAACGGAUAAUUUUGAUGAAAAACACUGCAUUGGAGAAGGAGGAUUUGGUAAUGUCUACAAGGUGAAUCUCCCAGAUGGACAAGUGGUUGCAGUGAAGAAGCUUCAUCCAAUUGAGGAAGGGAUGCAUGAUGAGCAAUGCUUUCGUCGUGAGAUUGAAGUACUAACAAAAGUCCGUCAGCGCAGCAUUGUCAAGCUGUAUGGAUUCUGUUCCCAUACGCAGUACAGGUUCCUGGUUUGCCAAUACAUAGAAAGGGGGAGUCUAGCCUCAAUCCUGAGCAACAGCGACCAAGCAAUCCAAUUUGAUUGGCAGAAAAGAGCAACUCUCAUCAAGGAUGUUGUGCAAGCUAUUUCCUACCUACACCAUGGUUGUGAUCCACCUAUAAUCCAUCGGGACAUAACAAGUAGCAACAUUUUGCUAGAUUCUGAAUACAAGGCCUUUGUCUCGGACUUUGGCACGGCAAGGAUACUGAAGCCUGAUUCAUCGAACUGGACCGCGCUGGCAGGGACAUAUGGCUACAUCGCACCUGAACUUUCUUACACGCCCUUGGUCACCGAGAAAUGCGAUGUCUACAGCCUCGGCGUUGUGAUGCUGGAGGUGCUGAUGGGGAAGCAUCCAGGAGAAUUCCUAAACAGACCUGCAGCUGCGCAAGAACAAGACAUGAUACUUCAAGAGCAUCUCGACCACCGUCUUCCCAUGCGCAAGACCGACGAGGCGCAGGAUAUCAAUCGGCUAAUAUCGGUGGCGUUUCAGUGCCUACAAGAUUCCCCUCAUGAGAGGCCAGACACGCAGCAGAUCCAUCGAGCUCUCAGUGUAUGA
rnacentral:rRNA from 1 species